CCCUUGUGUGUGUGUGGCUGUAUUGAGCACCUGGCAACUAUCCUGGCGGCACCAUAGAAGAGGCGCCUGGCUUCAUAUACCGGAGCAUCGUACCAACAAGCAUCACUUGACAGAGAGAAGUCAGCUGAAGUCAUCAUGAAGUUUCUCCGAGUCUUGAUGCUGGUGGCCGUGGUGAUGGCCGCGGUGUGUGGGGCCAUGGCCGACCCUGAACCUGAGCCCGAGCCUGAGCCUGAGGCAAGCCACGGCUUUGGCGGUAGAGGUGGAUACGGUGGAUACGGCGGUGGAUUCGGCGGCGGUAGAUUCGGCGGCGGCGGUUUCGGCCGCGGCGGCUACGGCUACGGCAGGUAGAGGCGCCACACUAGAGGGCGACUGGACGACCAAGUGAACGACACCCGCCCGUGAGAACGACCACUGUCAACCACCCACGCCAUUCCUCAACAUCAACGUUUAGGCAUCUACAACACCUGAUGAACGUAGUAUCCAGAUAUGCCUUCUAAAUAAAUUUAUUAUACAUAUGUAAAGUAAAUUAAAUACAAAUAUUACUUUUUUUGUAAACUGUAAUUAUCAUGUUUAUUGUAAAAUUUUAUUUAACUAAAAAAUAAAUGUUGAAUGUUAUGAAGAUUUAAAA